rnacentral:rRNA from 1 species
AAUCCUACGGGAGGCAGCAGUGGGGAAUUUUGCGCAAUGGGGGAAACCCUGACGCAGCGACNCCGUGUGAGGGAAGAAGGCUUUCGGGUCGUAAACCUCUGUCGGGAGGGAAGAACCUUCCAGGUCUGAACAAGGUCUGGAAAUGACGGUACCUCCAAAGGAAGCACCGGCUAACUCCGUGCCAGCAGCCGCGGUAAU